GGACGUAUGCAAUCUGCCUUGUACAAAGGGAUAGCCCAGAGAAAUUUGGAUUAAUACCUUAUAGUAUAUCGAUGUGGCAUCACAAUGAUAUUAAAGAUUUAUCGGUACAAGAUGAGCAUGCGUCCCAUUAGCUAGUUGGUGUGGUAACGGCACACCAAGGCAAUGAUGGGUAGGGGUCCUGAGAGGGAGAUCCCCCACACUGGUACUGAGACACGGACCAG
rnacentral:rRNA from 1 species